UACGUAGGGUGCGAGCGUUGUCCGGAAUUAUUGGGCGUAAAGGGCUCGUAGGCGGUUUGUCGCGUCGGGAGUGAAAUCCACUGGCUUAACUGGUGGCUUGCUUUCGAUACGGGCAGACUGGAGGUAUGCAGGGGAGAACGGAAUUCCUGGUGUAGCGGUGAAAUUCGUAGAUAUUGGGAAGAACACCAGUGGCGAAGGCGGCUAACUGGUCCAGAUCUGACGCUGAGGUGCGAAAGCGUGGGGAGCAAACAGG
rnacentral:rRNA from 1 species